rnacentral:lncRNA from 1 species
GUUUUAAUGAGACUCGGCCCUUAGUCUGCUCUUUCUGUGCUUUCAAGGGUUUUUUUUUAGGUUUUUUCUUUUCUUUUUUAUAUAAAAUUGUCAUUUAAUAAUGAACUAUAAUUAACUCCCAACUUUUUUUAAUUCCAAAUUUUACUUUUGUACUCGGUGGUAAAUUCUAGAUGUAUAUAUUUUUUUAAGGGAGUCAAGGGACAAUUACAUUAAUAAUAACACGGCUUUCGUACAAAUUUAGAUUUUU